CAAGUUUCAUACAAAUGACCUUCCAUAACUCGAAGUCGCUCUAAAUUGUAGUUUUUUUUGUGGUUUAUGGGGAUUCGUGUAAGGGAAGUUCAACUGUAUUUACAUAAAUUAUUUUUAUGUGUUGACAAUUGAACAACAUGGCAACACCCAACAUUUAUGUGUUGUGAGUUCGUGUUACAUACUUUUGGGGUCAAAAUCUGAGGCGUUCGCUGCAAGUAGGAGAAUCAGUGAAAAAUAACAGCAAAUCUAACAAGUGAAAACAAUCAGCACAAAACAAAGCCUAUAACAUGGCAGAAAAUUAAUUUAAAUAGGUUUUUGAGAAUUCAUGCAUAUUGUGAAAACAAUUUAGUUGAAGUAAGUGGAAAGUAAUGGAAACGUGCAAAAACUGUAAUCAAUAAUUAGAGCAAGGCUGUUACUGGCACACGCACACACACACUGCCACAUUGCAUGAGUUCAAAGAAAUCAUUUUACACGCAUAUAUACUGACAUACAUACACUUACAUACAAAUGUAUAUGUUAAGUAUAUGCGUGUGUGUGUGUAUGUAAGAAAAGGCCGUUGGUGAAGAGCGCGAGCGAGCGCAUGCAUAUGUACGGUUAUUCGGUUCAGCUUAGCAACAUGCUGGCAGUAGCCUUUGGUCAGUAAAAAACUCAACCCACACACCACCACAAUUGCGCUCACUUGCAUCCUUUAUAUACUUAUACGAAAAAUUGCCACAGUAACAAAGUAACGGUAACAAAUAGCAAAUAAGUAUAUCGAUUAUAUACGUAUAUGACGUUGCCAUCGUGUUUGGCGUCGUCGUCGUCAGUUGCUGCAGUGUCCUACGUUCGGUGUUCAGUGUUCGAACACUCGCCUUUCGUGCGACCAACUGGCAACGAUGUUGGUUUUUUUCCGAUUUUAAACAGCCUAAUCAUCAAACGAAACAAUAACAAAAAACAACACAAUUUAAUUUAAUGAAACAUUAGUGUAUUAAAUAAAUAAAUAUUUUAGUUGCUACAUACCAUACAUAUACAGUUAUACGGUAUGUAACGCAGUAUAGUUGCAUACGAAAAUAAUAUAUUUCCAAAAUAUAACAAAAGCUUAUAAAAAAUAUGUACAUACAUACGCAAUGUAUAAGACGUUUGGAUUACUAAGGCAUACCAGCGCAAAAUCACAAGGAUAACCGAUGCAAAGCAUUGCGAAAAUCAGCACGCUAAUACAUAUGCAUAUGUAUAGCAAAGCACAAACGGAUGUGCAAAUAAGCGAAAAAUUCAGCUUAAUAAAAGUGCAAAGUUAAUGUCUUUGACUUGAGUGGGGCGGAAAGAAAAUAAGGAUCCAAAUGUAUUGUAAAGAGCGACAAUCUAACGGCGCUACCACUUGAUCAGCUGCUGUAAAAAGGCAUAUGUAUGUAUGUAUGUUUUUAUAAUAACUCCGCACAUACAUACAUACAAGUGUGUGUAGAUUAAUGGCAAGGGUGUCUUUCGCUAUUUGUGAUUAUUUUGUUAUUGUGUGCCGACAGUUGUUAGUUAAUUCACUUAAUCCGCAAACUGGUGUGGCCUACAACAGAUAAAGCUAGAAGUCACUAUGUUCUUAAUAUUCGCGACAAAAUCAAAAUCAAGCGUCAUUUGAGCCUAUAACUUACGUCAUAUUUCCUUUAAAGAUUUACAUUGAGACUUCACUACAGCGUACAUUUGUCAGCGCACGUGGUCACUAUGCGUUGAUGCCGUUACCAACACUGCCGAACCACGCUACCAAAACAUGAUCUCACCGAAUCCAUCGAGUUGUAGCGAAAAUGAUCAUCAUAUUCAUCACCAUGCGCACCAUACAGCGACGGCCGGUUCGCAGACUUGCGGUAUUAGCUCGGCGGGAGUAGCCAAUAAUCGACGCAACAUGAGCAACAACAAUGUGUGCGGUGCACGCUGCCGAUCCUUGUUGGGCUAUCAACCGCAUUUGCAGCUUAUUAAUGAUGCAAACAUUAUGGGUGGCAAUAGUUGUGGGGAUACUGGUGCAACUGGAGGCCGUUAUAGUCCACAUCCGAAUGAGAUGUUCAUGCAGCAUCAUGGUAAACUCUCAAUCCAAUCGAUUAGUGGAUAUGAUGAUUCAACGAAUUGUUGCCUGCCGCCACCAUCACCAGCGCCGAACAGUGAUCGAUAUAUAAUGGGUUUAACAUCACCGCAAGGUUCACAAAUAUGUGGACCAUCAAGUAAUGUGAACUGUUUGGACAUGCAUACAACAUACGCUAAUUACGAUGGUGGCGUUAAUGGUAGCGGACAGGCGCAUCAAACUAACGGACAGCAACAACAUCAACAUAAUCAUCAUACCGCACAAGCGCUUUCUUCAUCUACAUCACCGCUGCCCGCUGCUAGUAAUUGUGCCACAAACUUAUCGCAAAAGUACGUAGGCAGCAUGCAACAGUGUGGUAUUUCGCCGAAUACACGAUUUCGGUUAUCAGACCGUUACCGCGAGGUGCCUACGCCUAAAUCACUGGUACUGAAUAGCAGCUCAUCCACCAUUGGCAGCCAAGGCACCUAUGCUACGGCACCGGGCGAAGCCGCAACACAGCCUUCCAGUGCAGCACGUUAUGCCGCGUCCGCACACUUUCUAACACAAAGCACACCGCUAGUGACAAGCGACACAUACACCUACCUUUCGUCGGCCGUACAUACGCCCGUCAAGCGCUAUGUGCCGACCCCACCGCCGCCAAAUGAACUAUACACUGACAUAUCGAUACAGCCGCCUACACCGACACCGCAAACUUAUAUGAACAAAAGCACGAACAGCUGUAGUGAGGUCAACGGUGGCGUCAGCAUCGGCGAAAAUGGCACAACGCAACAUGUCAACACGCUACCGUUCCGCUUUCGCAUGAAAUGCUGCGCCAAUGAUCUAACAAAUCCGACGGUGCUGCAGGCAGCAAAUACAAAUACCUCGCACUUGACGCAUAAUCUUGAGCAUCGGCCACUCUCAGUGACCGACUACUAUGCCACAUCGCCACGUACGCGACCUUCAUAUGGCAAUAGUACACACACUAGCCAUAUUGCGCACGGUGGUGGUCAUACAGCCAAUAACAACAAUUGCUUCAAUGGUGUUAACAAUAGCAGCAAUAGCAUUGCUAACGGUAAUACAAAAUGCGCUGCCGCAACAGCAAAAGAUGCUUCCAUAAUCAUUUUACAUGAUCAACAAAUACCAACAAAUGGACACAUGACAUCGUUGUCCAAGUUGCAUGCCACAACAAGUUGUAUAACCUCUACGUCGCCGGCUUCUGUAGCAGCGACAGCGGUGUCGGGUGGCUCAAAUGCUUUAUGCGCCAGAUCGUCGGCAGCCUCACCGCUGUCUAUUGGAGCCAGCAAUUGUAGCAGCAUGUAUGUAGUCGGCAAUAGCCGCUUGAAUAUGAACGGCGUUGCACGUGGUGCGAAUAACUCAAAUGUGAUAAAUGAUAGUAACGGCCGCAUUUAUACGACGCCCGUCCGCCAAAUGGACGCUAACGCAGGCGGCAAUAGUGGCGCGAAUAACAGUAGCAGCAACAUGAAUGCUGGCGCCGGCGCAGCCACCACUUGUUUGCAUUGUAACACAGUGCGACGUACAACUGGCGUGCAUCAGACCACGCAAACAACAGGACCGAUCAGCCCCAUACCCAUACAGCAGGUAAUGGAGGGCACUAGUGCUGCGGUCAACAGUUGCAAUGGCGUCUUUCUACAGAACGUGCUCGACCAGACAUCUCUUACACUGACGCCUUCCACCAGCGAAUCGCAUAUCUCUCCACAAUCGCCGUCAACCAAUGGUGCAUCCAAUUCGCGCAUACUUUUUCGCAGAAAAGGCAGUGGUGGCAGUAGCAGUAACGGCGUAGAGCAAUUGCAACAGCAACAGCAGCAACAACAACAAAGUGAACAAAUGUAUGUGGCACCGAAGGCGCUACAUCAACCAAUGCAUGCAAUAACAGAGGGCACGAUCACGGAACACAUUGGCAUGGUCGGGAGCAGUGUCGGUCAAAUGUGCAAUCAGCAGCAGCAGACUUUGAACGGCAAUCGACAACUACUGCAACAUUCACCGAUACAGUUGCAUCAGCAAUCGCCGCAGCCAUCACCAAUACAACAGCUGCCCAUGGCGCAACAACAACAACAGCAAAUUCAGCGCUUUUCGCGCAAAAAACGUUUCAGUCAAUACAUACGCAAGGAAAUAGCACGUUUCUUUGGUGUAGACGCUAGUACGGAGGCAGAGGAGUUCAUUAUUUGGCAAGGACGUCAAAGACGUUUAGCGCUCCGCAGAUUUGGUGCAUUGAAAAGCGAAAUUGAGUUGCAUGCCGAAAUCAACAGCAGAAACACCAGUGAGCCCAAUAACCACGUGAAUUGCUAUAAUGGCAGCGGUGUUGGCACAAAUCAACAAUACCAUCAACAUCAUUACCACCCUUCGGAACGGCCGGAUAUAUUGCCAGCGCAUGAUGCGGAAGGCGACGACUCCGCAAUCGAAUAUUCAACGCGACGACGUAAUUUUUUAUUUGCCGACUUCCAAGUGGGUGAUCAUGUCGAGCGUAAAGCCUCCGUAGCCACAAUGAUUAUGUCUAGCCUAACUUACAUCUUACACACGCUGAAUAGACGGCAUCCACGCAACUAUCGGCAAUGGUCGCGCAGCUUUGCGCAAUCUCACAUAAGUCAAAUCAUUGGUAUUGAUAACUCAGGUGACAUUUUUGAUGGCUUAUCAGCGCUACAAGAAGACGAACUCUUCUUUGACUCUGCAGGAACUGAGCAGUCACUAAAUAAUGGCACGAACUGCAGCAGCAACAGUAAUGGCACAUUACCGCAAUCGAAUAUGAUGAGGACUGGUGAUGGCGGUGCAACGAUCGCUCAUAACAAUGGCGUGAAGAUGAUUGAACAUCAUCGACAAAUUUACAUGGGUGAACGCGUACAUGGUUGGCGAACUUCGGCUGUAAUGGGUGGCAGUGGGACACAUUUGAAUGCCAACAACACCAAUGCCAACACAAAUGGUGAACAAAUAACUGCAUCCAUAUUGCUGCAGCAAGCCUCAACCAGCAACAGUAAUGCCGGUGGGCAACAACAAUCAAGUAAUGUUUGUAAUAGUGGCAGCUCCCACCAGUCCAAGAAGUCAACGAUCACUAGUCAUAAUGCCGCACCUUCACUGCCAAAUGUACAAUCGACAAACGGAACACGCGGUAAUCGUAUAUCGGCACAACUUCUAGAUGGUGUACUUGAAAAUUCCCGUCGCUCGAUACAGCGCAAAGUGAAAUUGUUCACUGUUAAUGAUCUAGACGAUCGUGCAGACCAUCGACCAUUUUUUACAUAUUGGAUUAACACAGUUCAGAUAUUGGUACUCUUAUUGUCGCUUAUUUGCUACGGUAUUGGACCUAUAGGAAUUGGUGUAGAACAAAAAACGGGACAGGUACUAGUUACUAGCCUUAGUUUGCAAACAGUGCAACACACCGAGCAGCGCAAUAUAUGGAUAGGGCCGCGCAAUAACGAUUUAGUGCAUAUGGGUGCGAAGUUCGCCACCUGUAUGCGGAGCGACGUACGUAUCAUGGACGUGCUACUGAAGACCAGACGGCAGGAACGCGAAACAGCGUGUUGUAUACGCAACGAUGAUUCAGGUUGCGUACAAAGCUCUCAAGCGGACUGCUCUGUGCGUGGACUAUUCCCAACCAAGUCUAUAUCAACGUGGAAGAAAUGGUCGCCUGGUGAAUCUGGUCCAGGUGGUCGCAUUUCGGGUUCCGUUUGUGGUUUGGAUCCCAAAUACUGCGAUGCACCCGCUUCUAUAGCACCGUAUGAAUGGCCAGAUGAUAUAACAAAAUGGCCAAUUUGCCGCAAAACAAAUUCAUUUUCACAACGUUUUCGCUACAAAGAUCACACCGCUGAACAUAUGGUGUGCGAGGUCAUCGGUCAUCCAUGUUGCACUGGCGUUUAUGGAGAAUGUAGAAUAACCACUCGCGAGUACUGUGAUUUCGUCAAUGGCUACUUUCAUGAAGAAGCAUCUUUAUGUUCGCAGAUUUCGUGCUUAAACAACGUCUGCGGCAUGUUACCAUUCAUCUCUGUUGAGGUGCCUGAUCAGUUUUAUCGUCUAUUCACAUCACUUUGCUUACAUGCUGGAAUUCUACAUUUGGCUAUUACUAUCGUCUUUCAACAUGUCUUUCUAGCAGACCUGGAACGUUUAAUAGGUCCAAUACGCACAGCUAUUGUUUAUAUUGGCUCCGGACUGGCUGGAAAUUUGACAAGCGCCGUUUUAGUGCCAUACAAACCAGAAGUUGGACCAUUGGCAUCAUUGUCUGGUGUAAUUGCAUCGCUGAUUGUGUUGCUAAUACUUAUCCACUGGAAGCAGCUGCGUAAACCUCACGUUGCGCUAUUUAAACUUAUGUGUAUAACAGCACUACUCUUUGGCAUUGGAACACUGCCUUGGCAGCUAAACUUCGCUGGACUGUUGGCGGGCAUAUUUUGUGGCAUAUUCUUAACCAUUGCGCUGGUGCCAUUUGUCAGCGUCACCAAAUAUGGACGAAAAGCAAAGAUAAAUCUUAUAUGGUCGUGCGUCAUCUUCCACAUGUUUACAUAUUCAGUAUUGCUGGUGAUAUUCUAUGUAUUCCCAACCGAAUUAACCACACUAAAUGUGGGCGAAGUUUUAAGAACAAAUUUCAAUGCAAAUUCAGGUGGUGGCAGCAACAUUGCAGACAGCGACAGUGUUGGCGUCGGCGUUGGCGGAAUCGGUCUUGGCAGUGGACAUAGUGGAGAUAUACCUGCUGGUAUCAGUAAUAGCAGAGGCGAUAGUGGCAAAAAUAAACGGUACCAAUCGAUCCAGCAGCAGUAUUAUUACCACCAUCGUUCCAGUGAUAUAAUUACAAGUGGAGCGUGUAGCACCUUGUGACAGACGAUAUUUUUCGUUUUAUAAUCAGGUGCAAGAACAAAUAAUGCUGACCAUGGGGCACUUUCGUCCAUUCGAACAACAUGACCCAGCCAGCGUAGCCUCUGCCUUUUUAUUCGCUGGACUAUGUUUAUGUCGUCGAACAACACAUCCAGCUCAUCAUUUCAACUUCUGCGGUAUUCGCCGUUGUCAAAGUUUAAGGGAACAUAAAUCUUCCGCAAAACCUUUCUCUCGAAAACUCCUAGUGCCGUCUCAUCGGAUGUUGAUACCGUUCACGCUUCUGCACCAUAAAGUAGGACGGGAAUGAUGAGGGACUUGUAGAGUUUAGUUUUUGCUCAUCGAGAGAGGACUUUACUUUUCAAUUGCCUACUCAGAUCAUAAACACAAAUACUUUGCACAAAUGGAGGAUUACAAUAGCUACAACUUUUCUUAGGCAUGAUAAACAAGACAACAACAAAUCCCAUCGACGAUAGUGCGCCACCUCUCUCUCUCCUUCGCAGUUCGGCGCCAGUUGGAGAUUCCAAGUGUAACCAGGUCGCUCUCCACCUGGUCCCUCCAACGGAGUGGAAGUCUUCCUCUUCCUCGGUUUCCUCCGGCGGGUACUGCAUCGAACACUUUCAGAGCUGGAGUGUUUUCGUCCAUUCGAACAACAUGACCUAGUCAGCGUAGCCGCUGUCUUUUUUUCGCUGAACUAUGUCAAUGUCGUCGUAUAACGCGUACAGCUCAUCGUUCCAUCGCCUGCGAUAUUCGCCGUUGCCAAUGUUCUGAGGACCAUAAAUCCUGCGCAAAAUUUUCCUCUCGAAAACUCCUAGUGUCGUCUCAUCUGAUGUUGACAUCGUCCAAGCUUCUGCACCGUAAAGCAGGACGGGAAUGAUAAGCGACUUGUAGAGCUUGAUUUUGGUUCCUUCUCGGUUUAGCUCUGCACCUCUUAUAAUUUUUUCCAGCAUCAGGUUAAAAAAAUCGCACGAUAGUGAGUCACCUUGUCUGAAACCUCGUUUGGUAUCGAACGGCUCGGAGAGGUCCUUCCCAAUCAUGACGGAGAUUUUGGUGUUGCUCAUUCGUAAUAGUAAUGGAAUUUUAUUUGAAUUGUAUAACAACAACUACAAAAAAUAAAAAUGUAAUAAUUAAUACUAAAUUUAUAUAUGAAAUUAAAUUUCGCGUGUGAACGCAAUGAGUGACACCAAAACAGUAUCUGGUGAUAAGCGACAGUAAUAUUCGAGUAUGAACAGGGACUAAGAAAUUUUUACGUGCUCUCAAAUCAACAAUUGCACUAAUAUAGCGCCAUCUUGUGGUGAUGGGAUAAAUGUUAAAUAUUGUAACGAAAAUGGUACCAGAACAAACUACCCAGCAAGUCAUGGGUACUGAAACUCCAACACAUUCAAAAAAAAUUUAAUAACACCACUACAUACACACAUAUGCAACAAAGGGCGAAAUGUGCAUAAACAUUUACCUCAACUCUUCUUUCGUACAGCACCCUGAAUGACAGAAAGAAACAACCAACCCUGCAAGACAGGUACCGGUGAAAUGCCAGGAACGGUACUAGGAGUUUCAAUGAAAGUUUCUAUGCCAUUCUUAAGGGCGAAUUGACAAAAGUACCCGAAACUAUUGUGUACGUGUGAUCGUUCAUCCCUUUCUUGCACAUUUCAUUCAUCAUUUAACAAUUUAUAUAUACCUCUUGCACAAUUCUGUGAAUGAUCUUGGUACAAUCACGGAUGAAAGACCCAAAACUGCGAACGAAAACCACAUGUGCACUUUCAGUACUGUUCUUAGUACUAUUACGGAUGAAAUACCUAAAACUGCGAACGAAAACUCCACGUGCACUUUCAGUACUGCGACCCACAAAAGCCCUGAAACUAUACCCGCAAUUUUCGGUUAGUUCUUCCAAAAUUCCAAAUGAGAAUUUAAUAACAAAAUCAUUAAUCAUAUUUCAUAUUUAUUGAAAAUAUCAUGCCAUUUAGGUGUUUAUUAUUAUAUUUACUUUAUAAAUGUAUUAUCGUACUACACUAUAUACUUAUGUAUAAAGAAUUGAAUAGUUGAACAAUUUUUGCUAUCGGACAAAAGCUGGAGGAAGAGUGGCAAAUGUCAAAUACCCCGUACGGGCUGGAAGUGUAAGCUGCGCACAUUAUGUGAGGACUAGUUUGGUUCCUUUAGGAGUUUUUGUAAGAUCUGUUCUUUCAUUAAUUUCACUAGUACUAGAUUCAUCUGGGAGGAGGGUUUCUAUAAAAUAUAAAGCAAAAUUUGAAUUUUUAUAAAGUUUGUAAUAAAAGUUGGUAAUAAUAACCUUAUGUUUCAGGAAUUCUAAAUCUAGCACGGCACCGUUCAAGUCUUAACAUCCAUGCUCUUGUUCUCGUGUUUGAACAAGUUUUGUUUUGAGCAGCCAUGAUAUAGCUUGUGAAGUAUUAUUUUGCGUGUUUUAUUUAAUUCAGUGAUCUGCAGCCUAAUUAAAGUUUAAAUUAUAGAAGCACGGAUUUUUAAAUAAGAAAACCGUAAAAUAAAAGUUUUCUAAAGCCAAAAUAUGGAAUUGAAGAGGGUGAUACAGUAAUACUUCAUUGCACUGUCAAUUCGAAACACGCAAUAGAAGCUACGCCAACAAUGGUCAACAUCAAUUGCGAAACCACUGAAUAUAUAUUUCAAACCUCAUACGGCGCGUUAAAGGUACGCAAACUUAUUUGUGUCACUUAUUGUAGCAGCGUAGAACUUUCGAAGCGAUGGAAUAUGUACUGCAAGCAAAUCCAGAACUAAGGAUGCAAAUGCUGCUACAUGGAACACAAAUCAUUUACACAACAGAUAUUAAGUUUAUGCCGGUAUUCUGCGAGCAGUCUCAAGUCUCUAAUAGAGACGAAUCUGUGGUGUAAUCUCUAUAGUGACUUUUUGGUAUUCUGGCGAGUUUGUCUCAUCUCUAUUUGAGCAAUAUCAGUCUCUAAUUUGUGAUGUGCUUUAAACCAGGUCACAGAAAAACAAGAGCACAAUAAUGGUUGAUGCAAUUGGCCUAAUAUAUAUUAUAAUGAAAAAAAAAACGAGAAGAAGAGAGCUACACUCGUAGGCGCAAUCUGGCUAUUUUGCGCAACAAGGAAGAUCACUUUUUAUAUGAAGAAAAUACGUUUAGGAAAUUCUUUCGAUUUCCAAAACACAAAUAUAAACCCUCCUCCCAGAUGAAUCUAGUACUAGUGAAAUUAAUGAAAGAACAGAUCUUACAAAAACUCCUAAAGGAACCAAACUAGUCCUCACAUAAUGUGCGCAGCUUACACUUCCAGCCCGUACGGGGUAUUUGACAUUUGCCACUCUUCCUCCAGCUUUUGUCCGAUAGCAAAAAUUGUUCAACUAUUCAAUUCUUUAUACAUAAGUAUAUAGUGUAGUACGAUAAUACAUUUAUAAAGUAAAUAUAAUAAUAAACACCUAAA